GUUGGGAAAGCGAGCGGCGGAUGGGUGAGUAACACGUGGGGAACCUGCCCCUAAGUCUGGGAUACCAUUUGGAAACAGGUGCUAAUACCGGAUAAUAAAGCAGAUCGCAUGAUCAGCUUUUGAAAGGCGGCGUAAGCUGUCGCUAAGGGAUGGCCCCGCGGUGCAUUAGCUAGUUGGUAAGGUAACGGCUUACCAAGGCGACGAUGCAUAGCCGAGUUGAGAGACUGAUCGGCCACAUUGGGACUGAGACACGGCCCAAACUCCUACGGGAGGCAGCAGUAGGGAAUCUUCCACAAUGGACGCAAGUCUGAUGGAGCAACGCCGCGUGAGUGAAGAAGGUUUUCGGAUCGUAAAGCUCUGUUGUUGGUGAAGAAGGAUAGAGGUAGUAACUGGCCUUUAUUUGACGGUAAUCAACCAGAAAGUCACGGCUAACUACGUGCCAGCAGCCGCGGUAAUACGUAGGUGGCAAGCGUUGUCCGGAUUUAUUGGGCGUAAAGCGAGCGCAGGCGGAAAAAUAAGUCUAAUGUGAAAGCCCUCGGCUUAACCGAGGAACUGCAUCGGAAACUGUUUUUCUUGAGUGCAGAAGAGGAGAGUGGAACUCCAUGUGUAGCGGUGGAAUGCGUAGAUAUAUGGAAGAACACCAGUGGCGAAGGCGGCUCUCUGGUCUGCAACUGACGCUGAGGCUCGAAAGCAUGGGUAGCGAACAGGAUUAGAUACCCUGGUAGUCCAUGCCGUAAACGAUGAGUGCUAAGUGUUGGGAGGUUUCCGCCUCUCAGUGCUGCAGCUAACGCAUUAAGCACUCCGCCUGGGGAGUACGACCGCAAGGGUUGAAACUCAAAG
rnacentral:rRNA from 1 species